CCAAGGAGCGGGCCGGAGCACCGGUUUCAAAGUCGCAGGGCGGGCCGUGUGAACGUCCCUUGCCAGCCCGGGCCAUCCUGGAGUCGCCACCCACUCCAUAAAGGACGCAGCCACCCGGAUUCCCGCCGGCUCCCUCCAAUCUCUCCUAAGUGCCCCGGCGCGACCCGGAGUGACCCGCGAGACGCCUAUAUCCAGCCGUGUCCCAGUCCGACCCGGCUGAGAGUCGUGUGAACGUGGAGCAGAAUUCACUUGGCGGGUCCCCAGCCAACCUGAAAUCUGGUCUCUCUCCUGAGCGAGGGACUCGGCUGGGACUUAGGAGGAGGAGGCGCGGCGGCGUGAGUAGGAUGCUAAUUACACAGCUUGACAACCUCCAGACCGUUGUCUUAAUUUUGUUUUCCCGCACAGCGAGCUCUGUGUGUUUUUGAAGAAACUCAAGGUGGUGAAAAGCUCCAAACCUAGUUAUUGUCGAAAUGGCCACAGAAAUCGACUUUCUGAGAGAUCAAAAUCGAAGACUAAAUGAAGUUAUUAGGCGAUAUCAAAUGGAAAAUUUUUCCAAAUAUUCAUCAAUACAGAAAGCUGUCUUCAAAGGAGAGGGAGAUGACACACUAGGAAACUCAGUAGUCGACCAAAGCUUUUUAGCACCUCUUAUUACUGAAUAUGAUAAACAUCUGGAAGAGCUACAUGAGCAGCUGAAAUAUUAUCAGAAACAAAUGAGUGAGAUGAAACUACAACUUGAAAAUGUCAUCAAGGAAAAUGAAAGGUUGCACAGUGAAUUAAAAGAUGGUGUUGAAAAGCAACUGGAGGCCCUUCCCUUUAGUACAGAGUUGGGAAAUGAUAUAUAUACAGAUGAUGAAACAGUCAGGAAUCUUCAAGAACAAUUAAAACUAGCCAAUCAAGAAAAAAAUCAGGCUGUAGAACUCUGGCAGACUGUCUCUCAAGAGUUGGACAGACUUCAGAAACUUUACCAGGAAUAUAUGACUGAGGCCCAGAUUCACGUAGCUGAAAGUCAAAAACAAAAGGAUCAGCUGACCAAUUUUCAACAACUGACUAAGCAACUUCACGUUGCUAAUGAGAACAUAGAAACGACUAACCAACACUUUCUGAAAACAGUAACUGAGCAAACAGUGGAAAUCGAGCAACUCCGAAAACAACUUAGGAAAGCCAAGUUAGAUCUGAGAGUUGCAGUAGCAAAAGUGGAAGAGUUAACUAAAGUGACUGAAGAUUUUCACGAACAGAUGAAAAAGAAGGAGGAGGACGUGGUGUCUGCCCAAGGAAGAGAGGAAGCAUCAGAUAGGCGUUUACAUCAGUUACAAUCUAGUAUAAAACAAUUAGAAACAAGAUUAUGUGUGGCCAUCCAAGAAGCCACCCAAUUAAGAACAGAAAACACACAUUUGAGAAAACAGACUAGAGAUUUGAAAGCAGGGUACACUGAAUUAGAAAUUGAGAAGUAUGAAGCCAUUCUAAGAGCCAGGAACAGCAUGCAACUCCUAGAAGAAGCUAACCUGCAAAAAAGUCAGGCUCUCAUUGUGGAGAAGCAAAAAGAAGAAAAUCUAGAGAAAAUGAAAGAAACAAUGUCUCUGCUUAUGGAAAACGCUUCCAAACUAACCAGGAAGGAAGUUGAAAACACAAGAAAACAAUCUAAUGUACAGAUUUCUCAACUAACAGCAGAAGUUUCAGCACUUCAUAUGGAGUGUGCUGAAAAACAAGGCCAAAUUGAACGAGCCAUGAGGGAGAAAAAAGCAGUGGAAGAAGAACUAGAAAAGAUUUAUCGUGAAGGCAUAGCGAAUGAAAGCGAUUACAGAAAACUGGAAGAAAUGCACCGAAGAUGCCUGGCUGCAGAGAGAUCAAAAGAUGAUCUUCAGCUAAGACUUAAGACAGCAGAAAAUAAAAUAAAGCAGCUUGAAAUAAAUUCCUCAGAAGAAAUAUCACGUUGCCAGGAAAUGAUUCAGAAUCUUCAAAAUAUACUGGUGUCUGAGAGAGAGAGCUGUGGAUUUGUCAGUGAACAAAGGCUAAAACUUCAGCAAGAAAAUGAACAACUACAGAAGGAGACUGAGGAGCUAAGGAAAAUUGCUCUCGAGGCUCAAAAAAAAGCAAAAUUCAAGAUCAGUACAAUGGAACAUGAAUUUUCAAUAAAGGAACAUGGGUUUGAAGUUCAGUUGAGAGAGAUGGAAGACAGUAAUCGGAAUUCCACCAUUGAACUGAGGCAUCUCUUAGCGGUUCAACAGAAGACAGCCAACAGGUGGAAAGAAGAAACAAAGAAGCUUACUGAAAGUGCAGAAAUGAGAAUCAGUAAUCUAAAGAGUGAGCUGAGUCGACAGAAGCUUCAUACUCAAGACCUGCUUUCUCAGCUGGAAAUGGCGAAUGAAAAGGUAGCUGAGAGUGAAAAGUUAAUUCUAGAGCAGCAAGAAAAAGCCAGCAGACUUCAGAAGCGUCUAAGUCAGGCGGAGCAGAGAGCGGCCUCUGCUUCCCAGCAGCUCAGUAUGAUUACAGUGCAGAGAAGAAAAGCAGCCUCCAUGAUAAAUCUGGAAAAUAUUUAAAAAUAGUCAUCGUUCACUCACAGAACGUUGGCGUGGGGACGGCUGUUGGACCAGCAGUGCACGGAAGCAGUCAGACCUGCAGAGAGUGGUUGGGCCUGUGUCGUCUGCAUAAGCAUUUUCCAUUCUGUUUUGAGGGUUAUUGGAAAACAACAGAACGGUGACAGCUUCCUCUCAUCGGCCUCCGUCCCCACACAGGGUCUGCUCGUACUGUGACAUAUGUGCUUUCUUCACAUCACCGCUCAAGCAUCGCUGCCUCAGAGAGCCUUCCUUCGCCUCCACACUGGGUUAGGUCCCCUGUUGUAUUGCUCUGAAUAGUGUGCUAUAUUUUUCCUUCAUAGUGCUUAUCAAAACUUGUAAUUAACCUUUCGAAUUUUUUUGUCUAAGGUCAUCUCGACAGACUGUGAGCUCCUUGAGAGCAGGACCCAUCACUAUAGUCUUAGCACUCAAUGGAGUUCUUGGCACAUGGAGGGUAUUCGGUACCUGUUCAGACUCUGACAAUGAGUGUUUAAGGACAGGAUCUCAGAAAAUGUCUUCAUUUGUUGAGUGAGCUCAGGAAGAGGCUGAGCUUAGGGAAGGAGACUGAAGAGGAGCAGUGAGAGAGCUGUUAAUCAUGGGAAUCCAAUGGGAGAAAGACUAGAGGGAGGAAAUCGGGUCUUCUAAGUAGGAGGCAAAUGACUGCUAGUGUCAAGUGCAGUGAUUGAGACAAACAGCACCAACAAGACCGUUAGCUGGUGACUAGAGAGGAGGCGCUUAGCUUAGUUCCAUUUCGCAAGGGAUGUUUCAUUGGAUUCUCUAAUGCAAACUCCUUCCCAUGUCAUUCACAGACUAAUUCCCAUGUAGUAAGAGUUAUGUUCAUUUUCAUAUAGGAUGUGGAACUUAUUUUUUAAAACGUUUAAUUAGAGAUGUUAAAAUUAUAUCUGACCAAAAAAAAUGAGACUGUAGGAGAAAGCACUUCAGAAACUUAACAUUCUAGACAAACAGAAUGUUAAGUACUAUUAUCCUUUUUCCAAAAGAAAAUCUAACUUCCCAGACUCAUUUCUUCAAGGCAAAACCUUUAACACGAGCAUUUCCUCCAAACUGCGGCUUCUAGGCACCUACUUCUUACACUUCAAUAUUAAUAACCCUCUCUGGAGGCCUCCUUCAUGAAUACUCCUAGGACAAGACAGGCUACUAAUAUGCAGAGAAUAGGCCUUUCUCACCUCUGUUGAAUUUGAACAGACUUAAGGUAUGUUUAGCAACAGAGCUGAGCACGUAUGGUUAUUUCUUUGUAGAAAAGUUUGUUAGCUAAUAAUUUCUAAUGUAAAAAUGUAGGGAAGUUCUUGAUAUUUCUCAUGUUGGUCAGUUUUGACUUCAUGGACACAGACAGUAUCAUUUAUUCUGUGAACUGUGUUUUAGGAGACAGGGGAGAUGAAUAAGAAAGAGAGAAAAGGAAUUAUAUAAAUCUGAAAUUGGGGACAACACAGCUAGUUCAUUUUAUUUAUUCAUGUUUCUUUAUUGUGUCUCCCUGAGAAAGAAAAGAUAUGAUUACCUCUUCUUCUCUUUGUAUACAAAUAUGCAAAUUGGGGCAGCCAACAAUCUUCUAACUUCUCUGGUGUGAGAACUACCCCAAAUAUGGGAGAACAUUAGCUACAAUUCAGUCAUUCGUUUAUUCAGCAAAUAUGAAUAUUUCAUAGCUGCACAGUC